CUGAAUGCUGAACAUUCCAGAAGGCAGCCCUGAAGAUUCUAAACAAUGAAAAAACCCUCCCUAUCGGUGGGACAAAAGUGAAAUUUAACUGAGAUAUCAUUCCUAAUUAUUAAAAGGUAAAAGUUACGUUUUUCCUGAUUUGCAAAGGAUUAUAAUUACGUAACAUUCAGUCUGCGGUAGUUCCUUGGCUGGUAGUCUUGAAGACCAAAGAGUUCCUCACAGGCACAGCGUGGACACAGGACAGAAAUAGGCAUGGGAGCUGAAGCAUGCAGCCCCACUGACCUGUUUCCUCUUGUUAAAAUCAGACUCCUAACUUGGUAGAAAUUGGAUGAAGACUCCUUGUAGCCUAGCUGAUGUGGGUCCUCCACUAGCGGAGGGCUUGAACUGUCUCGGGCCACUGAGCAGCCAUGAGAUGACAACAUGUUUUAAUCACUUUUACAGCAGCUGGACAAGAGCCAGCAAUCUACAGAUAAAGUGCUACAAGUGACUUAACGUACCCAUUAAAUAUGUCUUAUUGUUAGCAGUACUGAAGAUUAAUGAGGAAAAUGAAAGUGAAAAGAUAGCACUGCUGCAAGGGCUCUCAAAUGUUGAGCAAGCCAGUGUCACCAGAAAGCUGUCCAGAAGUUCUUGAGAAAUGGCAAAGUACCAGAAACAAACGUCAAAGCCAUAGAAAAGAACAGGACUACCACAUGGAUACUAAGUACUUAGUGUUCACUUAUUACAAGUGAUAUUACUCUCUUGACUUACUCUUUCAAUACAAGGGUUCUUUGGCAUUGAUA